GAGGUAAGGCUGGCUCAUGACAGUCCCAGGAAGGAGAAAAGGGAUUGAAUAACAACGACCACACAGCCAGGCCAGUGGAGCUGUUGAGGAUACUGACAGGGAUCAAUUUAAUCAUGGAGCAGAUCAAUGUUGAGUACGUACAAGCCAACAAACCCUAACAAUCUUCUACUUAGGUUCAAAGCUAACAAUAAUAGAGCAGUUAGUCGCGGACUUCCAGGGAAUUCUCGAGUAAAGACCACAUCAUCAUACAUGAUCCAAGGACAGCUAACAUGGCAUGGCAGCACAGGGCCAAAUCCAGCAACAUUUAGAAGGCAGGGAGGGAGGGAGGGGGGGUUGAAGAAGAGGCUAAAGGAAUGAAUGAACAGAAUGAUCAUUUCAGCGAGCAGAGCUUCUGGCUUUCCAACAAGCGGGGUUUAUCUUCCGUCGGCGGAGGUGAAGGAAUCAGCAAACCCUGGAGGCCGCGUCGGGAUGCUGGUCUGGGUGUUAUCCAGGCUCGCCAGGAACGAAGAGGUCGCGCCAUCGAAAUGGCUGCUGUCCUCGAAGGCCUGCCAUUUCUUCAGCGCCUGAGGCAGCGUCAUGUCCAGGUCGAUGCCGUAACUGUCGUCUGAAUCUGGGUCUGCGGGCUUCCACACUUCCGAGAGGGUGGAGAGCACGUUGACGGCAUGACCCAUGUCGGGCCUCUGAUGUGGCUCCCUAGCACAGCAGUGACCCGCGAGCUGUGCGACCGUGCUAACGCUGGCUAAGGUCUCCUCAUCAAGGUCGAUAGUUGUGUCGAUUGCCUUCUGGAACGUAUCAUUGUUGAGCUGCAUUC
rnacentral:lncRNA from 1 species